CGGCGCCGAGCCGCAGGGCGCCGACGGCGGCGGCCGGCACCGCCGGAUGCCGGGGCGGCACCGGCGCGACCCGGGCGUACGGCGCGCCCGGCGCCGGCC
rnacentral:tRNA from 1 species